GACUUGGUCCAAGCUCCUCAGUGCUGUUUAUAUACCUGAGAAGUUUUGAACAAGUAUA
ensembl:miRNA